AGCGAACGUUAGCGGCGCGCCUAACACAUGCAAGUCGCACGAGAAAGGGAGCAAUCCCCGGUACAGUGGCGCACGGGUGCGUAACACGUAGGUAAUCAACCCUCUGGUUGGGGAUAACACUUCGAAAGGAGUGCUAAUACCCGGUAUGGCGCAGCGGUCUUCGGAUCGCGGCGAGAAAGACCCGCAAGGGUUGCCAGAGGACGAGCCUGCGGCCCAUCAGCUAGUUGGCGAGGUAACGGCUCACCAAGGCGAAGACGGGUAGCUGGUUUGAGAGAAUGAUCAGCCACACUGGCACUGGAACACGGGCCAGACUCCUACGGGAGGCAGCAGUGAGGAAUAUUGGGCAAUGGGCGAAAGCCUGACCCAGCCACGCCGCGUGAGUGAUGAAGGCCCUCGGGUCGUAAAGCUCUGUGGAGAGGGACGAAAACCCUGGUUUCAAAUAGGCUCCAGGCUUGACGGUACCUCUUUAGCAAGCACCGGCUAACUCUGUG
rnacentral:rRNA from 1 species